UCAGAGCAGAGCUGAGGCCUUCCCAUUCCCCACAAUGAUGGAUUCCCACUCCUCUGCCUGAUUCUGAGUCUCUGCCACAACCCAAGUGAUGGCGGUUGACUUGCUUGCUCCAACAAGCUCUGAAUAACUAUCCUUUUCUUCUUCUCACUUGGUUGGCCUUUCUUUACUGACAGUUCAUUGUGGAGACCUCCCAAGACCCAGAGUGAGCUGUCCAUUGCUGCAGACCCCAGCCCUCAGGCGAGUGUGUCCCCACCAAGCCCCCCGUGCCUUGCAGCCUGCAGCGUUCUGAGGCUGGGAUGAUGUGGUGUUCGACCUCGGUGGGAUCCACAUAUUCUUUCAGCUGUCUUUGGUGUUACAGCUUUGUGUUGUGCUGGGCAAAGGUGUGUCAUGACAAGAAUCAGAGGGUAGAAUGAGGAAUGGGCCUUAUGAGUCUUGUUUAAGCUGGCCUCUGGGACCAGUGAGUCUGACAUCUACCUGGAUGAACUUGGCUGAAGGCCACCGAUCAAACCAUCUGUCCAGGUCUGCUUCCAUCUAGAUCCUGUAUCCUGAGAGAGAAUUCUAUCUGGUUUUCCGAUGGCUGAGGAGAUUGUAGGGUCUGUGUUCAGAGGCAGCCAACUGUCAUUUUGGGGCCCCAAGACACGAGGUGCAUAAAUGUUUCAUUUCUACCAACCAUCACCACCUCUCUUGGGGUUAUCUAAACUUAAGUCCUCUCCUCUGGCAGGAAAAAUCCCUACUUCUCCCAUGUAUGCACUGCAGUCCUAAUUUUUGUGCCCUUUGUAAAUGGCACCUUCACCAAGGGUGAUUUGGGUCUUCAGUGCCAACUCCAGAGAACACUCGAUUUCAUCAAAAUGUUCAUUUGAGAGGUACCUUGGAAAAGUAGAGAAAUAAGAUUCCACGUGUCCAAUGAGCACCACAUUUUUUAUUGAUAUGCUGGGGUCUCCAAAAGAAAUUGUUUUUCUUUUUCUCCAUUGCUUUAUUUUUUUUUUAUUAAAAAAAUUUGACUUGAUUAUCUUUUGUGCAAAAAAGAGUAUGAAUCAAAAAUUGUUUCCCUAACAGAUUGGCCACAGCAAAUGAACAAUCUGACAAACUUAAGCAUGGAUAAACUAGACUCAUUUCCCCAGUGAACCCGCCUCUCUUGUCCUUCAGUUGUGUCCCUCUACCCACUUCUCCUUAUUACCUUUAUUCUUCUAAUGCCCCUCGUUCUGCACCUUCUCCCUCCUCUUCCCCUUGUCCAAGUCCCUUACCUUUUCCCAACAAUUCUCCUAAAACAUCAAAGUGUCAGUUGCCUCCAAGGAUCCCCUCCCUCGCAUCACUAGCAAUGCAGGCAAAUGUAGAAUUUAAACCUUGAAACUGAGCUUAAUUAAGGGUUAUAAAUAAUUAAAGGUUUCUUUCAUUUUAGGAGACUUCAACACACCACUCACUCCAAAGGCAGAUCAACCAGACAGAAAAUAAGUAAGGAGACGGAGGCACUGAACAACACAUUAGAACAGAUGGACCUAACGGACAUCUACAGAACACUCCACCCAAAAGCAGCAGGAUACACAUUCUUCUCAAGGGCACAUGGAACACUUUCCAGAAUAGAUCACAUACUAGGCCACAAAUAGAGUCUCAGCAAAUUCAGACUGAUUCAAACUGUACCAACCAACUUCUAAGAUCACAAAGGUACGAAAUUAGAACUAAAUUGUACAAAGAAAACAAAAUGGCUCACAAACACAUGGAAGUUUAACAAACAUGCUCCUAAAUAAUCAAUGGAUCAAUGACCAAAUUAAGACAGAGAUCAAGCAAUAUACGGAAACAAAUAAAAACAACAGCUCAAUGCCCCAACUUCUGUGUGACGCAAUAAAGGCAGUUCUAAAAGGAAAGUAUAUAGCAAUGCCAGCCUGUUUAAAGAAGGAAGAACAAUCCCAAAUAAACAGUGUAAAUUCACAAUUAUUGAAACCGAAAAAAGAACAAAUGAGGCCCAUACGCAGUAGAAGGAGGGACAUUGUCGGGUCCCUUCCCUGUCUCUGACCCGCAGAUGAGGGAAGAGAAACGAUUGUUCAUCGAAGAUCUUAACGACCAGCCAGGGGACUCAAGGCAUGACAGCAAAAGAGUGGUGCCGAGACGGCAUCUCUCAUAUUUAUUCAUGAAAUGGUUGUUAACAACAAUAUUGGGGUUUCCAUGCACAAUCAUUAACUAAGUCCAACUCUCAACAGUUUCACCUUCUGAAGGAUAACGAACAAAUACUCAUGGUGAACGAACACAGAAACUCUUUCUGUCUUGGCUACCGUUUCUGUCUUGACUACGAAUCAUAAACUACAAACAAACCAUCAAGGCAAAUGUGCUUAUACAUAUGAUUUUUAUACUUUCUAUAUAAAUUCCAUAUAACUUCCCACAGACAUAAUAAAGAUCAGAGAAGAAAUAAAUAAAAUUGAGAACAAUAAAACAAUAGAAAGAUUUAAUGAAAGCAAGAGCUGGUUCUUUGAGAAGAUAAACAAAAUAGAUAAACCCCUAGCCAGACUUAUCAAGAAAAAAAGAGAAUCUACACACAUAAACAGAAUCAGAAAUGAGAAAGGAAAAAUCACUAUGGAUGCCACUGAAAUACAAAGAAUUACUACAGAAUACUAUGAAAAUCUAUAUGCUAACAAGCUGGAUAACCUAGAAGAAAUGGACAACUUUCUAGAAAAAUACAACCUUCCAAGACUGGCCCAGGAAGAAACAGAGAAACUGAACAGACCCAUUACCACCAAUGAAAUUGAAUUGGAAAUCAAAAAACUACCCAAGAACAAAAACCCAAGAACAGAUGGUUUCACCACUGAAUUUUACCAGAAGACAGCAUACCCAUUCUCCUUAAAGUUUUCCAAAAAACAGAAGAGAAGGGGAUACUUCCAAACUCAUUCUACAAAGCCAGCAUCACUCUACUACCAAAACCAGGCAAAGACAACACAAAAAAAGAAAACUACAGACCAAUAUCCCUGAUGAACAUAAAUGCAAAAAUACUCAACAAAAUACUAGCAAACCAUAUUCAAAAAUACAUCAGGAGGAUCAUACACCAUGAUCAAGUGGGAUUCAUCUCAGGGAUGCAAGGAGAAACCUGGACUGGAUCACUGACGGAAUAACCAAGCGGCACUUGGAGGUCUUCGAGUGUUGAGGUUUAUUUUACACCGGCGGGCUCAGAGGGAAGUAAUCUCCCAAGGUCUGAGCCCUGAGCACAAGCAAGGGGAGCAAUUUAUAUUAUUUUGAUAUGUGGCAUUUUGGCAUGUGCGGGACAAAAGAGCCUGGAGGAGAGGAGUAGGAAGCUGGGAGUGCUUUGCCAACUGGAGGAAAAAAGUGGUUUGCUGACCUUCAAGGCUGUGUUGAAUAUUUUCCUUAUCAAAUGUAGUAACCACAUUGUUUUUCAUGUGAAACCUUCAUAAGAGUGUAUAUCAAUAAUACCUUAAUUAAAAAACUGUGAUAAAGUAAA